ACGAACGAAGAUGAGUGCAGCGGAUUUGAAGGAUUUUUGAGUGAGAAAGAGGAAGGGAAAUAGUCUUAGGGUUUUGAGUGAGAAAGAUUUCGCGUAGGAGAGAAUGAGAAGGAAAGGGUAUAUACAUUCUAAGUUAAGGGAUUUAACUACCGUUGAAGACCAAAUCAGUAGUGAAAUCCAAUUAAAACAAAUUUCAACAUAAUUACAACAUUGCCACCGUGUCUACUUUUCACUACUGAUUUAAGAAAACCAGUAGUGAAAUCCCUUGUCUAUGAACUUUUCACUACUGGUAUUCAAAUAUCAGUAGUGGAAUCCUUUGAUCAAAUG
rnacentral:lncRNA from 1 species